GAUGAAGAACGGAGCGAAAUGCGAUAAGUAAUGUGAAUUGCAGAAUUCAGUGAAUCAUCGAAUCUUUGAACGCACAUUGCGCCCGCCAGUAUUCUGGCGGGCAUGCCUGUUCGAGCGUCAUUUCAACCAUCAAGCCCCCGGCGUGUGUUGGGGACCUGCGGCUGCCGCAGGCCCUGAAAAGCAGUGGCGGGCUCGCUGUCACACCGAGCGUAGUAGCAUACAUCUCGCUCUGGGCGUGCUGCGGGUUCCGGCCGUUAAACCACCUUCAUAACCCAAGGUUGACCUCGGAUCAGGUAGGAAGACCCGCUGAACUUAAGCAUAUCAAUAAGCGGAGGA
rnacentral:misc_RNA from 1 species